rnacentral:rRNA from 1 species
UACAGAGGUCUCAAGCGUUGUUCGGAUUCAUUGGGCGUAAAGGGUGCGUAGGCGGCGCGGUAAGUCGGGUGUGAAAUCUCGGGGCUCAACCCCGGAACUGCAUUGGAUACUGCUUUGCUAGAGUACUGGAGAGGGAACUGGAAUUUACGGUGUAGCAGUGAAAUGCGUAGAGAUCGUAAGGAAGGCCAGUGGCGAAGGCGGGUCUCUGGACAGUUCCUGACGCUGAGGCACGAAGGCCAGGGGAGCAAACGGG